CACGUAGGGCGCAAGCGUUGUCCGGAAUUAUUGGGCGUAAAGAGCUCGUAGCGGUCUGUUGCGUCCGCUGUGAAAACUCGGGGCUUAACCCCGAGCCUGCAGUGGAUACGGGCAGACUAGAGGUAGGUAGGGGAGAAUGGAAUUCCCGGUGUAGCGGUGAAAUGCGCAGAUAUCGGGAGGAACACCGGUGGCGAAGGCGGUUCUCUGGGCCGAUAUUGACGCUGAGGAGCGAAAGCGUGGGGAGCGAACAGG
rnacentral:rRNA from 1 species